rnacentral:rRNA from 1 species
GAUGAACGCUGGCGGCGUGCUUAACACAUGCAAGUCGAACGAAGCACUUUAUUUGAUUUCCUUCGGGACUGAUUAUUUUGUGACUGAGUGGCGGACGGGUGAGUAACGCGUGGGUAACCUGCCUUGUACAGGGGGAUAACAGUUGGAAACGGCUGCUAAUACCGCAUAAGCGCACGGCAUCGCAUGAUGCAGUGUGAAAAACUCCGGUGGUAUAAGAUGGACCCGCGUUGGAUUAGCUAGUUGGUGAGGUAACGGCCCACCAAGGCGACGAUCCAUAGCCGACCUGAGAGGGUGACCGGCCACAUUGGGACUGAGACACGGCCCAAACUCCUACGGGAGGCAGCAGUGGGGAAUACUGCACAAUGGGCGAAAGCCUGAUGCAGCGACGCCGCGUGAGCGAAGAAGUAUUUCGGUAUGUAAAGCUCUAUCAGCAGGGAAGAUAAUGACGGUACCUGACUAAGAAGCACCGGCUAAAUACGUG